rnacentral:rRNA from 1 species
UACGGAGGAUGCAAGCGUUAUCCGGAUUUAUUGGGCGUAAAGCGUCCGUAGGUGGUUAUUCAAGUCUGCUGUCAAAGCGCGAGGCUUAACUUCGUAAAGGCAGUGGAAACUGGAUGACUUGAGAAUGAUAGGGGCAGAGGGAAUUCCCAGUGUAGCGGUGAAAUGCGUAGAGAUUGGGAAGAACACCGGUGGCGAAAGCGCUCUGCUGGGUCAUAUCUGACACUGAGGGACGAAAGCUAGGGGAGCGAAAGGG